UUAAAAAGUAAGGUUCUUGUACCUUUUGUAUCAGGGGGUAUUAAAGUGUGUAAUUAGUGAUGUUUCUCGAAACAAUAAUGAGCUAUCUGUAAUUUUGUUGAAUAAGUUAGUUAAUAGUUUAGUUAUGAAAUGUAAUCGAAUCUUGUGUUAUCUAGUUACUUAAAUAAAUUGUUUUUUAGAGUUACUAUAGGUAAAUAUAAUAAAGAGGUUAACCUUUUUAUUAAGAGAUAGAUUACAAGGUUAUUAGUAUUAAUUAGGCUUAAUAUUAGCUAUAUUUAUAGUUUGUUAUAAAUAGUUACUUUUAGUUUAUAUAGAUUAUAUGAGUUUAAGUUAUAUAAGUGCGCAAAGUAAUUAAAAAAAAAAUGAUAUUAUUAGUAAUAGGUUAUGGUUACUUGUUUAACUCGAGGAUUAUUUGAUAGUUUAUCAAAAACAUUUUUUUUAGUUAUUUAAAAGUAUGGCCUGCCCAGUGAUUUUAAACGGCUGCAGUAUUUUAACUGUACUAAGGUAGCGUAAUCAUUUGUUUUUUAAUUGGAUACUGGAAUGAAAGGUUUUACAGAUAAUUGAUAGUAAUAGGUUAAUUUUAUUAAUUUAUAUUUUGAGUAAGAAUACUUAGAUAGUGUAGAGGGACGAUAAGACCCUAAAAGCUUUAUACAUUAGAGUUUAAAAAGAAUUUAUAUUGUAUUUAGUUGGGGUAACGUGUUUAUAUUAAUUAUUGUAAAUAUUAACAAUUAAUAAUUGGUAAGUUGAUCUUUUAUAUGAAGAAAAAUAGGGAUAGUUACUUUAGGGAUAACAGCGCAAUAACUAUAGAGAGGCCUUAUUAAUAUAGUUGAUUACGACCUCGAUGUUGAAUUAAAUAAUCUGUUUAUUGCAGCAGGUAAACAAGAAGGUUGUUCAAAC
rnacentral:rRNA from 1 species